rnacentral:rRNA from 1 species
AUUGAACGCUGGCGGCAGGCCUAACACAUGCAAGUCGAGCGGAUGAAGGGAGCUUGCUCCUGGAUUCAGCGGCGGACGGGUGAGUAAUGCCUAGGAAUCUGCCUGGUAGUGGGGGAUAACGUCCGGAAACGGGCGCUAAUACCGCAUACGUCCUGAGGGAGAAAGUGGGGGAUCUUCGGACCUCACGCUAUCAGAUGAGCCUAGGUCGGAUUAGCUAGUUGGUGGGGUAAAGGCCUACCAAGGCGACGAUCCGUAACUGGUCUGAGAGGAUGAUCAGUCACACUGGAACUGAGACACGGUCCAGAGUCCUACGGGAGGCAGCAGUGGGGAAUAUUGGACAAUGGGCGAAAGCAUGAUCCAGCCAUGCCGCGUGUGUGAAGAAGGUCUUCGGAUUGUAAAGCACUUUAAGUUGGGAGGAAGGGAAGUAAGUUAAUACCUUGCUGUUUUGACGUUACCAACAGAAUAAGCACCGGCUAACUUCGUG